UGCAGUCGAACGGUGAACAGAGCUUGCUCUGCGGAUCAGUGGCGAACGGGUGAGUAACACGUGAGUAACCUGCCCUUGACUCUGGGAUAAGCACUGGAAACGGUGUCUAAUACCGGAUACGAGCUUCAGCCGCAUGGCUAGGAGCUGGAAAGAAUUUUGGUCAAGGAUGGACUCGCGGCCUAUCAGCUAGUUGGUGAGGUAAUGGCUCACCAAGGCGACGACGGGUAGCCGGCCUGAGAGGGUGACCGGCCACACUGGGACUGAGACACGGCCCAGACUCCUACGGGAGGCAGCAGUGGGGAAUAUUGCACAAUGGGCGAAAGCCUGAUGCAGCAACGCCGCGUGAGGGACGACGGCCUUCGGGUUGUAAACCUCUUUUAGUAGGGAAGAAGCGAAAGUGACGGUACCUGCAGAAAAAGCACCGGCUAACUACGUGCCAGCAGCCGCGGUAAUACGUAGGGUGCAAGCGUUAUCCGGAAUUAUUGGGCGUAAAGAGCUCGUAGGCGGUUUGUCACGUCUGCUGUGAAAACUGGAGG
rnacentral:rRNA from 1 species